rnacentral:rRNA from 4 species
UGCGACCCCAGGUCAGGCGGGAUUACCCGCUGA